UCAUGGAAGAUCCCCAGUUGGUCUUUCUACUGGCACUAGUGAUUGCUCUACCCCCUUUCCUAGAACACAAAUACUGCAGAUUGUCUUCAGGGAUUCACUCCUGGACUCAGAAGGAGAACGCAUGGCCUCACCAACUAGGAAAAGUCAGAAACAGAUAUCCUGAAGGAAAAGAGCAAUGAACCUGAUUCCAAACAUUUCCACAGAAGCAUGGGCACUGCUGGCAACCAUCCUGGUGCUCCUCUACCUGGCACAUUGAAAUAUGAUAUAGAAUGCCAAAGAAAGUAUGGGGAUAUGUGGGGGCUAUAUAAUGGACUGUUCCCUGUGCUGGUUAUCACAGAUCCAGAUAUAAUCAAGAGUGUGCUAGUGAAAGAAUUUUAUUCUGUCUUCACAAAUAGACAUGUAGGUAUUCUUUUCUUAAAAAUGUGAGGAAUGUACACACCAAACAAGUAAUAUAGGCAUAUUUAUG